UGCAAGUCGAGCGAACUGAUUAGAAGCUUGCUUCUAUGACGUUAGCGGCGGACGGGUGAGUAACACGUGGGCAACCUGCCUGUAAGACUGGGAUAACUUCGGGAAACCGAAGCUAAUACCGGAUAGGAUCUUCUCCUUCAUGGGAGAUGAUUGAAAGAUGGUUUCGGCUAUCACUUACAGAUGGGCCCGCGGUGCAUUAGCUAGUUGGUGAGGUAACGGCUCACCAAGGCAACGAUGCAUAGCCGACCUGAGAGGGUGAUCGGCCACACUGGGACUGAGACACGGCCCAGACUCCUACGGGAGGCAGCAGUAGGGAAUCUUCCGCAAUGGACGAAAGUCUGACGGAGCAACGCCGCGUGAGUGAUGAAGGCUUUCGGGUCGUAAAACUCUGUUGUUAGGGAAGAACAAGUACGAGAGUAACUGCUCGUACCUUGACGGUACCUAACCAGAAAGCCACGGCUAACUACGUGCCAGCAGCCGCGGUAAUACGUAGGUGGCAAGCGUUAUCCGGAAUUAUUGGGCGUAAAGCGCGCGCAGGCGGUUUCUUAAGUCUGAUGUGAAAGCCCACGGCUCAACCGUGGAGGGUCAUUGGAAACUGGGGAACUUGAGUGCAGAAGAGAAAAGCGGAAUUCCACGUGUAGCGGUGAAAUGCGUAGAGAUGUGGAGGAACACCAGUGGCGAAGGCGGCUUUUUGGUCUGUAACUGACGCUG
rnacentral:rRNA from 2 species